rnacentral:siRNA from 1 species
AAGCAACUCAUUUCUUGGUUUUGC